GUCGAGCGUGAGGGAUAAAAGCGGAAAUCCUUUUUAUCAUGUAGCGGUAGCGAAAUGAAAAAAGAUUGCAGCGGAUAGCCCGACCGCCU
rnacentral:sRNA from 1 species